GAUGAACGCUGGCGGCGUGCUUAACACAUGCAAGUCGAACGGAAGGGCCAGUGCUUGCACUGGUACUCGAGUGGCGAACGGGUGAGUAACACGUGGGUGAUCUGCCCUGCACUUCGGGAUAAGCCUGGGAAACUGGGUCUAAUACCGGAUAGGACAAUGGUUUGGAUGCCGUUGUGGAAAGGUUUUUCGGUGUGGGAUGAGCUCGCGGCCUAUCAGCUUGUUGGUGGGGUAAUGGCCUACCAAGGCGUCGACGGGUAGCCGGCCUGAGAGGGUGUACGGCCACAUUGGGACUGAGAUACGGCCCAGACUCCUACGGGAGGCAGCAGGGGGGAAUAUUGCACAAUGGGCGCAAGCCUGAUGCAGCGACGCCGCGUGGGGGAUGACGGCCUUCGGGUUGUAAACUCCUUUCUCUAGGGACGAAGCGUAUUUGUGACGGUACCUGGAGAAGAAGCACCGGCUAACUACGUG
rnacentral:rRNA from 1 species